AGAGUUUGAUCCUGGCUCAGGACGAACGCUGGCGGCGUGCUUAACACAUGCAAGUCGAACGGAAAGGCCCUUCGGGGUACUCGAGUGGCGAACGGGUGAGUAACACGUGGGUGAUCUGCCCUGCACUCUGGGAUAAGCCUGGGAAACUGGGUCUAAUACCGGAUAGGACCGCAUGCUUCAUGGUGUGUGGUGCAAAGCUUUUGCGGUGUGGGAUGAGCCCGCGGCCUAUCAGCUUGUUGGUGGGGUAAUGGCCUACCAAGGCGACGACGGGUAGCCGGCCUGAGAGGGUGACCGGCCACACUGGGACUGAGAUACGGCCCAGACUCCUACGGGAGGCAGCAGUGGGGAAUAUUGCACGAUGGGCGCAAGCCUGAUGCAGCGACGCCGCGUGAGGGAUGACGGCCUUCGGGUUGUAAACCUCUUUCAGUAGGGACGAAGCGAAAGUGACGGUACCUACAGAAGAAGGACCGGCCAACUACGUGCCAGCAGCCGCGGUAAUACGUAGGGUCCGAGCGUUGUCCGGAAUUACUGGGCGUAAAGAGCUCGUAGGUGGUUUGUCGCGUUGUUCGUGAAAACUCACAGCUUAACUGCGGGCGUGCGGGCGAUACGGGCAGACUAGAGUACUGCAGGGGAGACUGGAAUUCCUGGUGUAGCGGUGGAAUGCGCAGAUAUCAGGAGGAACACCGGUGGCGAAGGCGGGUCUCUGGGCAGUAACUGACGCUGAGGAGCGAAAGCGUGGGUAGCGAACAGGAUUAGAUACCCUGGUAGUCCAA
rnacentral:rRNA from 1 species